rnacentral:rRNA from 1 species
UACAGAGGUCCCAAGCGUUGUUCGGAUUUACUGGGCGUAAAGGGCGCGUAGGCGGCAAUUCAAGUCAUCUGUGAAAUCUCCGGGCUUAACUCGGAACGGUCAGAUGAUACUGCUUUGCUAGAGUGCGGAAGGGGCAAUCGGAAUUCUUGGUGUAGCGGUGAAAUGCGUAGAUAUCAAGAGGAACACCUGAGGUGAAGACGGGUUGCUGGGCCGACACUGACGCUGAAGCGCGAAAGCCAGGGGAGCAAACGGG